ACAAGAAUAAAAGUACACUUACUGGUUGCUAUACAGAGAAGAACUCCAUCAUUGUGAUACAGCUCCAGUUAUCCCAUGUUUUCUUAGUUCCAGGAAGAAGUGACUUGCAUUAAAAGCAGAAGGAAAAAAAUUACUUUUUAACUCACUUCUGGGCAAGUGAGCUUGCUUUGUAAGUAUCAUGGUUACUUUGCCUUCCUUCCUAUUACAAGAGGUUAUAACAGCACACCUAUCAAUUUGUCCACUGGGGCAGUAAGAAGGGAAUACAUAAUUUUGCCUGCAACCAGCUUGAGAAAAGGU